GACGAACGCUGGCGGCGUGCUUAACACAUGCAAGUCGAACGGAAAGGCCCUGCUUUUGUGGGGUGCUCGAGUGGCGAGCGGGUGAGUAACACGUGUGUAACCUGCACUUGACUUUGGGAUAACUUCUGGAAACUGGGGCUCAUACCGGAUAGGAGCUCCUGAUGCAUGGUGGGGGAUGGUAAGUUUCGGCGGUUGGGGCUGGACUCGAGGCUUAUCCGCUUGUUGGUGAGGUAGUGGCUUACAACGGCUUUGAAGGGUAGCCGGCCUGAGAGGGUGACCGGCCACAUUGGGACUGAGAGACGGCCCAGACUCCUACGUGACGCAGCAGGGGGGAAUAUUGCACAAUGGCGGGAAGCCUGAGGUAGCAACGCUGCGUGCGGGAUGACGGCUUUCUGGUGAUAAACCACUUUCGCCUGAGACGAAGCGUUAUUGACGGCAAUGGGUAAAGAAGCACCGGCUAACUACGUG
rnacentral:rRNA from 1 species